rnacentral:rRNA from 1 species
UGGGGAAUUUUCCGCAAUGGACGAAAGUCUGACGGAGCAACGCCGCGUGAAUGAAGAAGGCCUUCGGGUCGUAAAAUUCUGUCAUAAGGGAAGAACAUACAUAGUGUAAAUAAUGCUAUGUACUGACGGUACCUUAGGAGGAAGCCACGGCUAACUACGUGCCAGCAGCCGCGGUAAUACGUAGGUGGCGAGCGUUGUCCGGAAUUACUGGGCGUAAAGGGCGCGCAGGCGGGAAUUUAAGUCAGAUGUGAAAGCUCCGGGCUCAACCUGGAGACUGCAUUUGAAACUGGAUUUCUUGAGGACAGGAGAGGAAAGCGGAAUUCCUAGUGUAGCGGUGAAAUGCGUAGAUAUUAGGAGGAACACCAGUGGCGAAGGCGGCUUUCUGGACUGUAACUGACGCUGAGGCGCGAAAGCGUGGGGAGCAAACG